rnacentral:rRNA from 1 species
CCUACGGGUGGCAGCAGUGAGGAAUAUUGGUCAAUGGACGAAAGUCUGAACCAGCCAAGUCGCGUGAAGGAUGACUGCCCUAUGGGUUGUAAACUUCUUUUAUAUGGGAAUAAAAUGUGGCACGUGUGGGAUUUUGUAUGUACCAUAUGAAUAAGGAUCGGCUAACUCCGUGCCAGCAGCCGCGGUAAUACGGAGGAUCCGAGCGUUAUCCGGAUUUAUUGGGUUUAAAGGGAGCGUAGAUGGCUUGUUAAGUCAGUUGUGAAAGUUUGUGGCUCAACCGUAAAAUUGCAAUUGAUACUGGCAGCCUUGAGUACAGUUGAGGUAGGCGGAAUUCGUGGUGUAGCGGUGAAAUGCUUAGAUAUCACGAAGAACUCCGAUUGCGAAGGCAGCUUACUAAACUGCCACUGACAUUGAUGCUCGAAAGUGUGGGGAUCAAACAGGAUUAGAUACCCCUGUAGUC